rnacentral:rRNA from 1 species
UACAGAGGGUGCGAGCGUUAAUCGGAAUUACUGGGCGUAAAGCGCACGUAGGCGGCUUGGUAUGUCGGGUGUGAAAUCCCCGGGCUCAACCUGGGAACUGCCCUCCAAACUGCCUUUGCUUGAGGCCGGGAGAGGGUGAGGUAGGAAUUUCCCGAGUGUAGCGGUGAAAUGCGUAGAUAUUGGGAGGAACACCAGUGGCGAAGGCGGACUCACUGGACCGGUUCUGACGCUGAGGCGCGAAAGGCGU